UUGAGCGGGGGACAACAUUUGGAAACGAAUGCUAAUACCGCAUAACGACUUUAAACACAAGUUUUAAGUUUGAAAGAUGCAAUUGCAUCACUCAAAGAUGAUCCCGCGUUGUAUUAGCUAGUUGGUGAGGUAAAGGCUCACCAAGGCGAUGAUACAUAGCCGACCUGAGGGGGUGAUCGGCCACAUUGGGACUGAGACACGGCCCAAACUCCUACGGGAGGCAGCAGUAGGGAAUCUUCGGCAAUGGACGAAAGUCUGACCGAGCAACGCCGCGUGAGUGAAGAAGGUUUUCGGAUCGUAAAACUCUGUUGGUAGAGAAGAACGUUGGUGAGAGUGGAAAGCUCAUCAAGUGACGGUAACUACCCAGAAAGGGACGGCUAACUACGUGCCAGCAGCCGCGGUAAUACGUAGGUCCCGAGCGUUGUCCGGAUUUAUUGGGCGUAAAGCGAGCGCAGGUGGUUUAUUAAGUCUGGUGUAAAAGGCAGUGGCUCAACCAUUGUAUGCAUUGGAAACUGGUAGACUUGAGUGCAGGAGAGGAGAGUGGAAUUCCAUGUGUAGCGGUGAAAUGCGUAGAUAUAUGGAGGAACACCGGUGGCGAAAGCGGCUCUCUGGCCUGUAACUGACACUGAGGCUCGAAAGCGUGGGGAGCAAACAGGAUUAGAUACCCUGGUAGUCCACGCCGUAAACGAUGAGUGCUAGAUGUAGGGAGCUAUAAGUUCUCUGUAUCGCAGC
rnacentral:rRNA from 1 species